AUUGAACGCUGGCGGCAUGCCUUACACAUGCAAGUCGAACGGUAACGCGGGGCAACCUGGCGACGAGUGGCGAACGGGUGAGUAAUGUAUCGGAACGUGCCCAGUUGUGGGGGAUAACUGCUCGAAAGAGCAGCUAAUACCGCAUACGACCUGAGGGUGAAAGCGGGGGAUCGCAAGACCUCGCGCAAUUGGAGCGGCCGAUAUCAGAUUAGGUAGUUGGUGGGGUAAAGGCUCACCAAGCCAACGAUCUGUAGCUGGUCUGAGAGGACGACCAGCAACACUGGGACUGAGACACGGCCCAGACUCCUACGGGAGGCAGCAGUGGGGAAUUUUGGACAAUGGACGGAAGUCUGAGCCAGCCAUGCCGCGUGCGGGAAGAAGGCCUUCGGGUUGUAAACCGCUUUUGUCAGGGAAGAAACGCUCUGGGUUAAUACCUCGGGGUAAUGACGGUACCUGAAGAAUAAGCACCGGCUAACUACGUGCCAGCAGCCGCUGUAACAC
rnacentral:rRNA from 1 species